rfam:TPA: Bos taurus chromosome 24, whole genome shotgun sequence.
UCCCUGAUAGCUCAAUUGGUAAAGAAUCUGCCUGCAAUGCAGGGAACUCUGGUUCGACUCCUGGGUUGGGAA